rnacentral:lncRNA from 1 species
CUACUUCUCACCUUCUUCCCACCCAUACACACCCAUUUUGUGAACUACAGGCUUAACUAAAGUUGGCCUUGGUGGAGCUAGAAGACUUGAAUUUCAUCCUUUUUCACUCCAGUUCUGAUCAUUCCUCACCCCACAUCCCUUUAGCUCUUAAGCUCAGAGCAUAAGAUCCUAUAUGUGUUUAUUUCGUUUUACAGUGGCAAUUUCUUGUUGAGUCAGUGACUUUUUCACAAAUUCCAAAGUCUUUGAAGGCAGAGAUUUCAUAUGACUUAUAUAUCUGUGUUCUGCAUAUACUGUGGAUCAAUAAACAUUUGUUAAAUGUCUGCUAUGCUGCUUUCAGCACUGACACAUCAUUUUGGCUAACACAUAUAGAGUGCUUACUGUAUGCCAGGUAUUGGCCAAGUGCUUUGCCCAUAUUUUCUCAUGGGUUCUUUACAAUAGUCCUCUAAGCUAGGUACUCUUAGUGCCACUAUUUUAUAAAUAAAAAAACACAAAGACUUAUACAGUUGGUUGCCCAAGCAGCUACUUGAACCCAGGUCUAGGCUGGCUCUCUGUUCUUACCAGUGAGCUAUACCACCUCCUGGCUAGUUGGAGCAUUCAUCAUUUGGUGGCAGGAAAAGUCCUUUAUUCUGCCUGCAACAAAUGAACUAAAGCAGAUGGUAGGCCCUACACAUGCCUCCAUAAGACUUUAAUUCUUCAGCCUUGGGCUAUGAUUUUCAAGAAUUUCAUUAAAGUUUUAUGAAACAACAAUCCCUUAUCCACUGUUUCCAGACUGCAGCUCCCUGAACUCCAUGGGGAGUGACUGUCAUUUUACAUGCCUUUCUUGCCCUUUUACCAAUCCAUUCCCAACAUCACAUUUCCUAUUGAGCAGUCCAUUAAUCACCUUGUCACCCUGUUGAUUAAGUAACCUCUGCUAAUUUCCUGGGAAUAACCAACUCAACUAAGACCCUGGCACAGAGAUGCCAAAUGGUUUCCUUCUUACCAAUGCCUCCAAGUUUUCCUUUAGGUCAUUUACCCUCAUUUCUCCUCUCUCUCUUUGUCUUUCCUUCUUUUGAUUGACAAAGUAAUAUGUAGUUUAACAACAAGCCAGUAUUGUACGAAGAUAAGUAAGGCAUUGUUUAAUUGUGGUCAGUGCUGCCUGAGAAGUAUAUUCAACCAAGUGCUCUAGGAACUGAUGGUCGCAGCAAGGGGACUUCAACCUGUCUCUGGUCCCCAUGGUGGUGUUGUCAGUGAAAACGAGUACGGCUGUUCAUUAGAGAGAGGUCAGACUAUAUUCUGGGGACAAGGCCUGGGCAGUGGGAAGAAAUCUCCAGCAUUGGCUUCCAUGCCAGAGUGCAACUGAUCUGCCUGUCUUUUGAACAGAGGCCUCAAGGUGUUGGAUGCUGCAAAGUGGACUGGCAACAGGAAAGACAAAUUUCAAAUUUUUUCGCAGCAGUAGCAGCAGCAGCAAGGGCAGCAUACAGCUAAUUAGGCCCACACCAGCCUUAUUCCAUCAGUCCCCUUUUUGAAUGACUCUUUAUAGACCAAGGUGUGACCUCAUUUUUCUGAGCUCAGCACUGAGCUGGAUUCCAGGAACUUCUAAAUCCCAAGUCUCCCAUCCAACACUGAGUGCCUCUAUGUCUUUUGGCAGAAAGCUCAGCACUUAUCUAGCACUUUCUUCCAAUGUCAAAACACUUUGCUAUCAUAUAUUAACCCCCAGGACACCCCCAGACCUGCAGACAUUAUGAUCUUUGUUUUCCAGAUGGAGAGACUGAAAAGCAUUCUGGGCUUAGGUGGGAAGAGUGGAUGUUGCCUCUGAUUUGCUCCACCGUGCAGGUCCCUGCGUCCUUUUCUCUAACUGGGAUGUUAGCCCUUAAGAGCUGGCCCAAUAUUCAAAAAGGGCAUCACAAACAGCAGCUCUACUGUGUUCACCACUGGCAGCAGCCUCCCAGUAAGGAGAACAGUUGGAUCUUGACAAUUUUUGUAUAGCUUUGUGUAGAGUUAAAGGCAAAUGAGUGGUGGCCCAUUUGUCACUUUUCUCCACCCAUAAGGCACCAGGUAGGCAUAUGUCUGCGAAAGUUGCAAGAAAGAGGAAGAUCCUGGCUAAUUGGGCAGAAGGGUAUUUAUUAGGAGGACAGGAAGAAGAGUAGAGGACUUGGAAACAAGAUCCAAGGAAGCUACAGGGAGCUCAGCAGCAGGAAGAGUCCAAUCAUAUGCUGUGGCUGGUGUUCUCACAUCGAGUGGUCUUCAACUUUGCCCCCAUCUUUUCCUCCCUUGUUCAAGUUUCCAAAUCCCAAGAGGGAAUGUCAUAUUGGCUGAGACUGACCCUUAGCUGUGGUGAUGAGUUGAGGAGGAGGAGGAUUGCAUUUCUUCAGCCUCUGAAAAGAAAGGAAACCUCUGCCUCCCACCAAGACUACACACAAUAGAGGAGACCCAAAGGGAUGUUGCCGCUAUUAAAGGGGGAUUUAGAUGCUGGACAGAUGAAAACUUGACAAAUGUUCUAUAUAACCUGAGCCAAUGAAAGUCUCCAGGAUCUGGGAAGAGGCAACAUGGUGGCAGAGAUUUAGUUGUGGUCAAUAACAGCUGGACAGGUUGGUGUCAUCAUCUAGCACCGAGGGCUGGACCACAGAAUAGCACAACAGCCUUUUCCUCUCCUGGUAGCUGAAAGGCUCACUUGCUGGCUCUUAAAUUGAAAUCCUAGCAUUCUAGUCAAUUAUAAUCUCUAGUUUAUCCCCAAAUUCUGGGUGGCUCAGUUCAUUAGGUGAUGAUGUUAAUAAGAGCAUAGGUUCAAAUGCUCACACCUUUGGGCCCUGGCUGUUUUAUAAAAGGCUGCAGUACACACCAAGGGGGCUGGAUGGCAGUGAAGAGCCAUCAUUAUAAACAGAAGACAAAGGCUAGGGGGAAAAGGACCCAAACACAGAGAAUCAAAGAACAGAAAGGGGCCUAGCACAUGUAGCCCAAUCCACUCAGUUCUUACACAAAACUUGCUAAUAAUAAUAGUAGGAACUCAGCUGAAAAGGACAGUAUUAUUCAUCCCUGAGACAUGGGAAGAAGUAAACUUCCCACCAAGGAAAUGGUGGUUAAGAACAAGGGUCACCUGCACACAGAUAGAUGGACUGGGUAUGUAUCAUUCAUGUGGGAGAUUAGUGGGGAUGGGAGCCUUUUUUUGCAUUAGAGAGAUCAUCAAGGAAAAAGUAUAAACACAGUGAAAGCAUUGAUCCUCUGCCACCUAAGAACCCUCAGGAGCGUAUCCUCUAAUAGGCACUUGUUCUUCCUGAGAAUGUUGGUUCCCCAUAAACAAAACCAUGCCUCAAUGUUAGUAGCACCUCAAUAUUUGCAUAUGUUCAGAUUUCCCUGAACUGGGAGUGAGGGGAGAACUCAAUGGCAAUCUAUUGUGCUGAAACUCCAUCUGUUGCCUGACAUGUAGGCAUCUCAGAAGGGGUGAGUAGAGAUGCUCAUGACUUGCCCAAGAACACAAUAGACCGACCUUGGCCAAGGAGAGAAAUGAAAACUGGAGCCUUGAAAUACACUGGGAUGAAAUUCUACACACACUCUAUUUAGGAUGACCACACGGCUUGAUUUUCCCGGGAGAGUUUCAGCUGAUACCUGCCCAAAAGUGUCCUAAUUUGGAUGAUAAAGCAUAUGGUCACCCUUAUUCUAUUGAGUCUUUGAUGGUAUAACCAGGAUUUAGGACUAAGGCCUGAUGUAUAAGCAAAUGCCCUAGUCGUGGGGAUGGGCCCUGGGGAAUUCAUUUUAAAGCCAUGGAAGAAACCGUUCAUGAAUUAGGGUAGGCAUCCUCCUUGCUCCUCACUGUCAGUUCUAGGCCAUUUCCCACACUCCUCAAUACUUCCCAGCUUUGACUCAUAUUAUCAGACUUGACUACCCACCACUCCACCUUCCUGCAGUCAGCAUUUACUCUCCAAGUCUCUCCUCUCACUCCUUGAAGAUUUCAGCUUCUGGCUCGUUGUCAUUCUCUGGAUACAACUCAUCCCACCAUGAUGAUCUCAUCUCGUUUCAGGGCUUUAAAUAGCAUCUCAAGGCUGGAGCUCUCUCUUAAAUGCUAAACUCAUGUAUUCAACUGCUUACCAACACCUUUACUUGGAUUAUUAAGAGACAUCUCAGGCUUAGUCUGCUGUGAACUAAGCUUUUACUUCCCUCCAUACCCCAAAACAUGCUCGUUUUAUGGAGCAGUCACUAUCUCAUUUAAAGGCAACUCCAUCUUGCAGUCACUCAGGAAAAAAAAACUUGCUCUCACCUUGGAUCCUCUAUUCUUUCACACCUGACAUUUUAUCUUUUAGAAAACCCUGUUGUCUAAGAUGUAUUCAGAAUCUAACCACUUCUCCCUACCUCCACAGCUAACACUUCGGUUCAAUUCACCAUCACCUCUCCCCAGGAUUAUGAUAUCUUCUUAGCUAGUUUUUCUGCUUCCCCCUUUUCCUUUGUAUAGUUUAUUCUCAAUCCAGCAAAUACAGGGAUUCUGGUUAAACACAACUAAGAUUAUGUUACUCUUCUGCUCAAAACCCAGCAACAGGCUUAAAGCUAAACCCUUCAUUAUGACCUAGGAAAUUCUUUAUGACCUGGCUACCCCAUUACCAUUCUGGCUUCCUUUCUAAUAUCCCCCUUGCUUGCUCUAAUCCAAUCCUGUUGGCUUCAUGUAACCUCUGCCCUCCCAGUUGAAGCGAUUCUCCUGCCCCAGCCUCCCCAGUAGCUGGGAUUACAGGUGUCCACCACCACGUCUGGCUACUUUUUGUAUUUUUAGUAGAGAUGAGGUUUCACCAUGUUGGCCAGGCUGGUUUCAAACUCCUGACCUCAGGUGAUCCACCCACCUCAGCCUCCCAAAGUGUUAGGAUUACAGGCAUGAGCCACUGCACCUGGACUACUACAGGUCUUUUGUUUGUACUUGCUGUGUCUUUAGUCUGGACAUUUGCCUCAGAGAUCCACAUGGCUUGGCUCCUGCUUUCCUUCUUACUUCUCAGCAAAGCCAUCCCUCACCAACCUAUCUAAAAUUGUAACCACCCCCAAAAAUUCUAUCCUCCUUUUCUGAUUUUUUUGUUAGCCAGUAUAAUUAACACAUCAUAAAGAUUACUUAAAUAUCUUGGUUUUAAAAAUUUGUCUCUCCCACUAGAAUGUAAGCUUCUGUAAGCAGGAAUUUUGUAUAUUUUGUUUACUGGUAUUUCUCCAGUGCCUGGAAAAGUUCCUGCCAUGUAGUUAGCACUCAAUAUUUGCCAAUUAAAUGAAUUAAAGCAUCAAUUAUAGACCUCAGUUUGCCCUUGGAUAUUUUACAACUUUGUAACAAAUUUCAAGAACUUUUCUUUGAAAGGAAAAGCUAUGAUCUUUUAUCCUGACUUUCUGCCAUGUGAAGAAAUCUUUUUAUACAACUUUAGAUCUAUGAGGACUCAGGCCGACUUUGCCUGCACUCUUUCUAAAAAGAGAGUCCACCACCUCACCAGCUAGCCUGGUUGGAAAAAUCUAUGGGCUAGAAAAAGCUGCCUUUUAUUGAACCAAGAUGUUCUUGAACGUCUUGGUUUACUGAACCAAGACCAGUUGCAUACACUGAUCCACUCCACUGCCCCCUCUCAGAACAAAUUUACUGCCCUGUUGACACAGUGUAUUGUGAUCCCUCUGUCCCUUGUCUUCUACAGGUUAAAUAACCCCAGUUUCUUUAUCGGUUUCUGCUAUGAUAUAGUUUGCUGUCUCCUCACCAUUCUUGCUGCCCUCCUCCGGACGUGGCAGCUCACCUAAAUGAAGGUCCCCAAAAGUGGGCAUAUGACUAGGUCUGACCCGCACAGAAUACAAUGGGGCUCUUUCCCUGUGAUUGUGACCCUCUGGUAUGUCAUAAAGACAGUGUUGGAUGUGUGGUGGUAGCCUCACUGCCUUGAGACAGGGUUUGCUUGGGCUGAUCGGGGGUGGAGGCAGGAGGAGUCAUGGAUAGUUUUGGGGUCUAGGUGCAUUUGUGGCAGUGGUAUGAGGUGGUAAGACAAAGAGGGGGUCAAUGACAUGAACAGUAUGCCACACAAUGUAAGAGAUCGGGAAAAGCGGUGAGGGAGGAGGCCCUGCAGGGUUACUAGCAUUUCAUCUUGGGUGUGGAGGAAGAGGUAGGGGUCUCAGUUCAUGGAAACUCUGAUUAGGGGUCACUCUAGCAGCCUGAGAAGUUUCCCGAGGUGCUCUGGGGAAGUCAUCUGACCACAUUUUCCCAUCACGCCACUAGAUGGAGCAUUGGGAUAGAGGAUGUGAAGUGGGGUUCCUGGGAUUUGUGCAGAAGAAAACCUGACAUCCAGUUCUUGAGCAAGUUGCUUAACUCUGCACACCAUUUUCAUCUGUAACAUAAUAUCUACCUUAGAGGAUUCUUGGGCACAGCCUGUGAGCUAAGAGAUACAAAAGUGCUUGUAAGCUGUGAAGGGCUACGAAAAAGAUAACUAGUUUUGCUAUUUUGUUUUAAAAGAGAUAGGCGGGUUAUAGAGCAAAAAGCGCUUUCUUGGCCUGUUUUCUGAAAGAGCACUGGGUCUUCCACCAGUUCAACCCACAGAUGGCCCCUGGCCUAGGGUGGCCCAACCUCCCAAAGUCUGGGAUUGGAGGCGACACACCUGAAAAUGGGGAUGACGUAAUUGUUUGGGAAGAUGCCGACUCGCCCGGUGACCAAGGAGACGCCCCUGAGCCAGCCGUCCUGGCAC